rnacentral:rRNA from 1 species
CCUACGGGAGGCAGCAGUAAGGAAUAUUGGUCAAUGGACGCAAGUCUGAACCAGCCAUGCCGCGUGAAGGAUGAAGGUCCUCUGGAUUGUAAACUUCUUUUAUUUGGGACGAAAAAAGGGUUUUCUAACUCACUUGACGGUACCAGAUGAAUAAGCACCGGCUAACUCCGUGCCAGCAGCCGCGGUAAUACGGAGGGUGCAAGCGUUAUCCGGAUUCACUGGGUUUAAAGGGUGCGUAGGCGGGUAUGUAAGUCAGCGGUGAAAUCCCCGAGCUUAACUUGGGAACUGCCGUUGAUACUAUAUAUCUUGAAUGUUGUGGAGGUUAGCGGAAUAUGUCAUGUAGCGGUGAAAUGCUUAGAUAUGACAUAGAACACCCAUUGCGAAGGCAGCUAACUACGCAAAUAUUGACGCUGAGGCACGAAAAGCGUGGGGAUCAAACAGGAUUAGAUACCCUGGUAGUCCACGCCCUAAACGAUNAUACUACACAUAGUGAUACACAUCAGUGUNUGAGNGAAGANAUAAUAAUACACCNCGGAGAGANGCAGAGUAGAAGUAAAAGUAAAGUUAGUAGCGNGAGAGAGCGACGAGACACGAGGGAGGAGG